UUCCUACGGGGCGCAGCAGUGGGGAAUAUUGCACAAUGGGGGAAACCCUGAUGCAGCGACGCCGCGUGAGUGAAGAAGUAAUUCGUUACGUAAAGCUCUAUCAGCAGGGAAGAAAUACUGACCUUACGGUCAGCAGACGGUACCUGAGUAAGAAGCCCCGGCUAACUACGUGCCAGCAGCCGCGGUAAUACGUAGGGGGCAAGCGUUAUCCGGAUUUACUGGGUGUAAAGGGAGCGUAGACGGUACGCCAAGUCUGAGGUGAAAUGCCGCAGCUUAACCGCGGAACUGCUUUGGAAACUGGCGGG
rnacentral:rRNA from 1 species